UACGUAGGUGACAAGCGUUGUCCGGAAUUAUUGGGCGUAAAGGGAGCGCAGGCGGUUGGAAUAGUCUGAUGUGAAAGUCCACGGCUUAACCGUGGAAGGUCAUUGGAAACUGUCCAACUUGAAUGCAGAAGAGGUAAGUGGAAUUCCAUGUGUAGCGGUGAAAUGCGUAGAUAUAUGGAGGAACACCAGUGGCGAAGGCGACUUACUGGUCUGUGAUUGACGCUGAGGCUCGAAAGCGUGGGUAGCGAACAGGAUUAGAUA
rnacentral:rRNA from 1 species